rnacentral:tRNA from 1 species
GGUGGAAUGGCCGAGCGGUCUAAGGCGCCAGAAUCAGGAACUUGUUCUAUCUGGUCUCAUUGAGGCGGGAGUUCGAAUCUCCCUUCCAUCA